rnacentral:rRNA from 1 species
GAUGAACGCUAGCUACAGGCCUAACACAUGCAAGUCGUGGGGCAGCGGGUAUACUUGUUUUCAAGUAUAUGCCGGCGACCGGCGCACGGGUGAGUAACGCGUAUCCAACCUGCCCAUCACAAGGGAAUAACCCGUCGAAAGUCGGCCUAAUGCCCUAUGUAUUCCGAUGAAGUCCUCUGAAUCGGAAUAAAGCAUUUGCGGUGAUGGAUGGGGAUGCGUCUGGUUAGCUUGUCGGCGGGGUAACGGCCCACCGAGGCGACGAUCAGUAGGGGUUCUGAGAGGAAGGUCCCCCACAUUGGAACUGAGACACGGUCCAAACUCCUACGGGAGGCAGCAGUGAGGAAUAUUGGUCAAUGGGCGUUGAGCCUGAACCAGCCAAGUAAUCGUGCAGGAUGACGGCCCUAUGGGUUGUAAACUGCUUAUUAUACGGGGAUAAAAGGGUGAACGUGUUCUCCUUUGCAGGUACCGUAUGAAUAAGGACCGGCUAAUUCCGUGCCAGCAGCCGCGGUAAUACGGAAGGUCCUGGCGUUAUCCGGAUUUAUUGGGUUUAAAGGGAGCGCAGGCUGCACUUUAAGCGUGUGGUGAAAUGUACCGGCUCAACCGGUAACGUGCAGCGCGAACUGGGGUGCUUGAGUACGAAGAGGGAAGGCGGAACUCGAUGGUGUAGCGGUGAAAUGCUUAGAUAUCACGAGGAACUGCGAUCGCGAAGGCAGCUGUGUGCCGUUUACGGAACUGGGACGCCUGAGGGCUCGAAAAAGUUGCGGGGUAUUUCCAAACCCAAGGGAUUCAAGG